rnacentral:rRNA from 1 species
GUCGAACGGCAGCACGGGUGCUUGCACCUGGUGGCGAGUGGCGAACGGGUGAGUAAUACAUCGGAACAUGUCCUGUAGUGGGGGAUAGCCCGGCGAAAGCCGGAUUAAUACCGCAUACGAUCCACGGAUGAAAGCGGGGGACCUUCGGGCCUCGCGCUAUAGGGUUGGCCGAUGGCUGAUUAGCUAGUUGGUGGGGUAAAGGCCUACCAAGGCGACGAUCAGUAGCUGGUCUGAGAGGACGACCAGCCACACUGGGACUGAGACACGGCCCAGACUCCUACGGGAGGCAGCAGUGGGGAAUUUUGGACAAUGGGCGAAAGCCUGAUCCAGCAAUGCCGCGUGUGUGAAGAAGGCCUUCGGGUUGUAAAGCACUUUUGCCAUUGAAAGAAAUCCCUGGCUCUAAUACAGUCGGGGGAUGACGGUACCGGAAGAAUAAGCACCGGCUAACUACGUGCCAGCAGCCGCGGUAAUACGUAGGGUGCAAGCGUUAAUCGGAAUUACUGGGCGUAAAGCGUGCGCAGGCGGUUUGCUAAGACCGAUGUGAAAUCCCCGGGCUCAACCUGGGAACUGCAUUGGUGACUGGCAGGCUAGAGUAUGGCAGAGGGGGGUAGAAUUCCACGUGUAGCAGUGAAAUGCGUAGAGAUGUGGAGGAAUACCGAUGGCGAAGGCAGCCCCCUGGGCCCAAUACUGACGCUCAUGCACGAAAAGCGUGGGGAGCAAACAGGAUUAGGGGCCCUGGUAGUCCACGCCCUAAACGAUGUCAACUAGUUGUUGGGGAUUCAUUUCCUUAGUAACGUAGCUAACGCGUGAAGUUGACCGCCUGGGGAGUACGGUCGCAAGAUUAAAACUCAAAGGAAUUGACGGGGACCCGCACAAGCGGUGGAUGAUGUGGAUUAAUUCGAUGCAACGCGAAAAACCUUACCUACCCUUGACAUGGUCGGAAUCCUGCUGAGAGGCGGGAGUGCUCGAAAGAGAACCGCGCACAGGUGCUGCAUGGCUGUCGUCAGCUCGUGUCGUGAGAUGUUGGGUUAAGUCCCGCAACGAGCGCAACCCUUGUCCUUAGUUGCUACGCAAGAGCACUCUAAGGAGACUGCCGGUGACAAACCGGAGGAAGGUGGGGAUGACGUCAAGUCCUCAUGGCCCUUAUGGGUAGGGCUUCACACGUCAUACAAUGGUCGGAACAGGGGUUGCCAACCCGCGAGGGGGAGCUAAUCCCAGAAAACCGAUCGUAGUCCGGAUUGCACUCUGCAACUCGAGUGCAUGAAGCUGGAAUCGCUAGUAAUCGCGGAUCUUUCUGCCGCGGUGAAUACGUUCCCGGGUCUUGUACACACCGCCCGUCACACCAUGGGAGUGGGUUUUACCAGAAGUGGCUAGUCUGGGCACAAGGAGGACGGUCACCACGGUAGGAUUCAUGACUGGG